rnacentral:rRNA from 1 species
UACGUAGGGUGCAAGCGUUAAUCGGAAUUACUGGGCGUAAAGCGCGCGUAGGUGGUUUGUUAAGUUGAAUGUGAAAUCCCCGGGCUCAACCUGGGAACUGCAUCCAAAACUGGCAAGCUAGAGUAGGGCAGAGGGUGGUGGAAUUUCCUGUGUAGCGGUGAAAUGCGUAGAUAUAGGAAGGAACACCAGUGGCGAAGGCGACCACCUGGGCUCAUACUGACACUGAGGUGCGAGAGCGUGGGGAGCAAACAGGAUUAGAAACCCUAGUAGU